GAAAGUCUGGGCCUUUUGGCCCUCUCUCUUCUACACACUUGUGAACUUACACUGUUGCUUUGGCAGGUUUCUGGAUGAGCGUAAGCUCGGAAGGUUAGACCGAAAGGUGCUUGCCAGAGACAUUUAUCUACCCUUUUUAUUUUGUCUGAUUUUUGUUUUUAACAAAUUAUAAUAAAACUUUCAACAAUGGAUCUCUUGGCUCU
rnacentral:misc_RNA from 1 species